GGUGGUUCAUUUUGGUCGUUGCCUGUGAGGCCAGCAUCCAAGAGUAAGAGGAAGCUAGGAGCAGUCUCAAAAAGAGAUGGAACCAAGGACAGCAAAUGCUGACGAAGAGAAGAGACGGACAAGCGUUUGCUUGUGGUUAAUACCGAAGGGACGGGAUGAAACAAGGAAGCCAGAAUGCAGCGGCCCCUCGAUAUCACCAGGAACUGCUACAGGAGGAGGCGUUCUGGCACGGGUAACUAAGCUCUCCGAGCUGAAUCCUAGCCCUGAAGGAAAAAGCACUGGGGGGAGGCUACUUGGACAUCUGCCACGUCGAGGGCAGGGGCAGGAGCUGACCCUUCCCCGACGGACGGACGGAC